GAGCUGUGGCAGAAUUCAAACACAAGGCCAACAACUGCACCAGGGGGAUCUCAAAUGCAUGACUGGAACCAGCCAGGACUCAGUAUUUUCUGAAGGAAAGUUUCUUCGAGAAGUUUAGCUUCUGAAAGUGAAAGCUCAGAGAGGAAGGAGCUGUCUUCAAAUAUUUCAGCCAAAUUUUGUAAAAGGGAAGAAGCCUGAAAGAAGGAAAAGAACUCUGCCAGACUUGGGGACUUUAUUACAUAGAUAAAUGGGCAGUAUAUCAAAGAAGACAUAUAGUAGCUUAUUUCAGCUGGACAAUUGAAAUAUUUAGAUUCAGGUAAGCCUAAAAGAAAUAUGUUUUCUUUUUUCCCUUCUGAUUGAAACAGAGAAGCAAAAAAGAAUCAAAAAAAUUCCUG
rnacentral:lncRNA from 1 species